rnacentral:rRNA from 1 species
CCUACGGGUGGCAGCAGUAGGGAAUAUUGCUCAAUGGGGGAAACCCUGAAGCAGCAACGCCGCGUGGAUGAUGAAGGUUUUCGGGUUGUAAACUCCUUUUGUUAGAGAAGAUAAUGACGGUAUCUAACGAAUCAGCACCGGCUAACUCCGUGCCAGCAGCCGCGGGAAUACGGAGGGUGCAAGCGUUACUCGGAAUCACUGGGCGUAAAGAGCGCGUAGGCGGGAUAGCAAGUCAGAUGUGAAAUCCUAUGGCUUAACCAUAGAACUGCAUUUGAAACUGUUAUUCUAGAGUAUGGGAGAGGUAGGUGGAAUUCUUGGUGUAGGGGUAAAAUCCGUAGAGAUCAAGAGGAAUACUCAUUGCGAAGGCGACCUGCUAGAACAUAACUGACGCUGAUGCGCGAAAGCGUGGGGAGCAAACAGGAUUAGAUACCCCAGUAGUC